GUGGCUCCAGCAUUUUUAAGCCUAAAGGGUAUAAUCUUGUAGCAAAAUAUGCCUUAAGGGGUGAUAAAUGUAGUUUUCUCUUAGUCGGGCUCGUGCAUUGGUAUUUGGUGGUAACCUCGGUAUGCAUCCAGGAAACUCAUCCAGGCAUGACCCGAAGUAGAGUCCACCAAUUGAUCAAUCUUUGGUAAAGGAACCUGGUUGAGGCUUGUGAAGUCUACGCAGACUCUCCACUUGCCAGUCUUUUUCUUUACCAUGACUGUUUGACAACCAGCUCGGGUAAAGAACUUCUGGUAUUGCAUUUGCCUCCUUUAGCUUUUUCACUUCUUCAAUCACUGCAUCCACAUGCUCAGUUGCGGAUCUUCUUCCUCGUUGUUUCAAUGGUCAAGCAUCGGGGAGGACGUUCAGUUCGUGUUUGAUAAAUUUGGAGUCUAUCCCGAGCAUCUCGUAAGGUGUCCAUGCGAAGACCUUGAUAUUAGCUGUAAGGAACUAGAUGAGCUUGGUUCUCUCUUGUUCUUCCAAGUUUGCACCAGUGAGAAACAAACGAUCCGAGCUUGGCUCAUCCAAUUCAUAGCGUAUCAGGUUCUCCACGACCUUAGCCUCGGGGUCUCUCACGAUGUCUUCCAAGACCUCGUGCUCCUCAAUCAAUUGCACCUCUUUCAUGGCCUUAGUGGAGAUUGUAACGAGAUAGCAUUGUUUGGCCGCUACCUGAUCUCCAUAAAGAGUUUCCUCACCUCAAGGGUGGCAAACUUAAUGACUUGGUGCAAUCUGGAAGCCACUCCCUUCAGCUUGUGCAACCAAUCUCGGCCAACAAUCGCAUUAUAUGGGGAAGGUUUGUCAACAACAACAAACUCUGUCACCACCUCUUGGGAACCAGCUCGGAUUUUAAGAGUUACAACUUCCAAAGGCCAGUGAGACUGAGCAUUAAAACUGACCAAAUGGCUUAGGCUGGUUUUAAGUCUGAUUUUGAAAGCUUGAAAUUUGUGUUUGGUCAAAAAUAGAGAAUAUAAAUCAAUACUCAAUAAUUAUCUUAAUUAUACUUAUACUCCAGUAUAUAUAUUUAUAGAUAAGCAUUUAGGUUAGGGUUUGUAACUUAUAACUAUUCAAUAAAUUUUAUUUUAUUGAAAAAAAAAUACAGGACGUGGCGGGGAAUCCAAAAACCCGCAAAGAUUGCUAUGAAAAAAAAAUUCACACUGGUUGCAGGUCAGGGCGCCCUGUAGCCAUCACUAGAAGAGAAAAAUAAUUUUUCAAAUAUUGGGAUUUUGGCCUUAAUUGUAAUUUUGUUAAGGGACAAAAUGCAAUAAAAGGAAAUUUCAUUUUGAUGGGGCUAGAGAGAGAAAUUCCGAGACUAAACAUAAUCCCUCCCAUGCAUAUCUUUAGCAACAAAUUCUCUAAACCCUAUCUUUUUGCCCCCAAAAGCUGUCGUUUGCCCUUUGCAUAAGAGUUUGAUUUAUUUUGGAUUUUUUCCUCUAGCUUAUGUACGUACAUAGGAAAAUAAAUAAUUCUUUUUACGUUUAUAAAAUUCUUAACUCCAAAUGAAAUAUCAAAAUUCAAGUAGUUCAGCCCCAACCAUCCCUACAUGAAUUUUAUUUUUUCCAAAUUCAAUUUAUGAAUAAAUUGAAAAAAUGGUUCUUGUAAUUUUACCCAUCUGCGAUUUUGAUCCCUGAAUUUUUUAAAUCCCGUAAUUUUAACCUUGUAUUUGAUAUCCUCGCUAAUUCAGUCCAAUUGAUAACUGAAGUUAGGUUUUUGGAUGGAUUUUCAAUACAUGAAAGAUAUUUAACCUCAUUUGAUGGUAAUUUACAAUGAAAUUAGGCAAAUUACGAUGGGGUUGGACGAUUUACAAUGGGAAUUGGGUGAAAAUGGGAGGGAAAUGUCGAUUUUAUCCCUCAAAUGAUGGUACAUAUCAUUCAAAUGUGAAGGGUUUAUUGUAAUUUUGCAUAAUAAAAAUAAAAAGUGGAAUGUGUUUGGUCAAAAGUGGAGUGUAUAAAUCAAUACUCAAUAAUUAUUUUUGCACUUAUACUCCAAUAUAUAUAUUUAUAGAUAAAUAUUUAGAUAAACACACAUUCCAAUUAAUCUUGCGGGUAGCUGGUCGAACCAUUUCAACUCGAGAUCACCCAUGCACGAUGGAAACACCCGAUACAUAAGUGCGUCCAAGUGAUUCAAGAGCGCCAUCAAUUGUCUAACAUGACUGAUGUGGGAUCUCGGGUCCGACUUCUGGUAGUACAAUGUGAACCUCGGUGGUGUGAUCUUUUCUGGUAGGUCCAUUCCCUCAAUGUCUCGGGAGAAUGGCGUCUGCUACUUUGGGAUUGGUUCCCUUGGCACGAGCCUGAUCGUGCAAGCUAUUGACCCUGCCAGGAUGAUGUCUUUACCUUGGUUGUUGGGCUUAUCGCACAGAUCACCUCUUCGGUUCCGUUUGGAGUUAAGAGUCAUGCGGAGAUCCGUAAUGGAGUCGAGUGGGUGAUACUCUCUGCCUGCUCAACAUUACAGUUUUACUAUCACUCUG
rnacentral:lncRNA from 1 species